rnacentral:rRNA from 1 species
AGGACAAACGCUGGCGGGGUGCAUGAGACAUGCAAGUCGAACGAGGAUCCUCCGAGCUUGCUUGGAGGUCUCCUAGUGGCGGACGGCUGAGUAACGCGUAGGUGACCUACCCGGAAGUGGGGAAUAACUGCCCGAAAGGGUGGCUAAUACCGCAUGUGGUCGGCGAUUCGAUUCGCCGUCUAAAGGAGCAAUUCGCUUCCGGAGGGGCCUGCGUCCGAUUAGCUAGUUGGUGGGGUAACGGCUCACCAAGGCGACGAUCGGUAGCUGGUCUGAGAGGAUGAUCAGCCAGACUGGGACUGAGAACGGCCCAGACUCCUACGGGAGGCAGCAGUCGGGAAUUUUGCCCAAUGGACGAAAGUCUGAGGCAGCAACUCCGCGUGAGGGAUGAAGGCUCUAGGGUCGUAAACCUCUUUUCUCAGGGAAGAUCCAAGACGGUACCUGAGGAAUAAGCGACGGCUAACUACGUGCCAGCAGCCGC